UUGAUUGGUCGAAAGACCUUAUCAGAUUCUACCACCUCUGUGAACCGUUGACCUCCGGGUUAAUAACCAAACAUCAGUGUAACGAACGUAAGAGUAUCUUAAUUAAACA
rnacentral:misc_RNA from 1 species